GGAGAAGGCCGUGCGAAGACGCAGCCACAAGCCUGCCGAGGGGUGCCAGGAACAGCCCGCAGCCCCAGGAACUGGGACAGAGAAGCUCCGCCACAUCCACACUCCUCCUGAGGACGCGACCUCCUAACGCACAUCGCAGCUCAGAGGAAGAGUUGGUCCAGCCUGAAGUGUGACCGGUUUACAGGCAGGGACGAGUCCACCCGAGCUGGGGGCUUCCACUGCGCUGCUGCUGGUCCUGGGCCCACACUGAGAAGGCAAGCGUCCCCUGAUCGUGGCCAGUGCGUGUGGCCAGGAGCUCUGCCUGCCGCCCGGACCCACCCCACCGCAUCCCAGGGCCAGGCAGGCUGAGGGACCCCGCACGUGAUCCACGCGUGGCCUAACCUGAUUGGCCAGCCUGCGCCAGGCACCUGCCCCAACCCCACGAGGUCCUGUGGUUGACAGGCUGACCUGCUGAUGGGAGGCGUCCCCGGGGCCUCACUUUUUCAUCAGAAGGAUGUGUGUGCCUCGGCCCUUCCGACCCCGACAGGUGAGCCCUGCACUCUCCAAGAGCUA